CGCCUCUCCUCUGCACAGGUCUAAAUCAUCUCAAUCUCACUUCUCUGACCUCGUCUCCAAACAGUCUUACUUGUGCUGUCUCUCAGAUAUGUUCAUUCAAAUUCCUGUUCAUCAUGAGUACCAAAGAAAAUUGCAGCAUCUUCAGCUCUGCCUCAUUUUUGUUAGUGCCACCCCCUAUAAGCCAUAAAACACAGCUAGUCUCUCAACCAUGACGUAAACUUUCCCUUUCACGCUUGUAGACACCCUUCCAUCACUAAUCUCUCUCCUCCACUUACUUUACCCUUCCUGCACUCUCCUCUUCAUCUCUCUACCACACUCUUUAUUACUUUUAACAUGGAUCCCAAGUAAAAAUACAAGCGUCAUCCUUAAAUACACACUCUACCAAAUCAUCUAACUCACUCCAGAGAUCUUCUUUCUCCUUCAACUCACAACCUACCUGUGGGGCAUAUGCACUGAUGACAUUCAUCAUCACCCAUUCUAUUUCCAACUUUACACUCAGCACCCUAUCAGACAUUCAUUUAACCUCCAACAUUCUCUUAAAAUACUCUUCCCAAACACCAUUUCUCCUCCAGUCCACACCAUGAUACAAGAACCUCCAAUGCUCCUGACCUCACUUCCCUUCCACUUGGUCUCUUGUGCUCAGCAAAUUCAAAUUUCAGAAUUUCACACUUCUAACUUUCAUCCUGUCCUUCUGUCCCUGGACACAUUCAAAGCUAAUUCUUCG